GAACGGGUUAGAUACCCGGUAGUCCAGGCUGUAACGAUGCGGGGCUAGGUGUCGCGAUAGCCAUGAGCUAUCGCGGCGCCGGAGGGAAGCCGUUAAGCCCGCCGCCUGGGAAGUACGGCCGCAAGGCUGAAANUUAAAGGAAUUGGCGGGGGAGCACUACAACGGGUGGAGCNUGCGGUUUAAUUGGAUUCAACGCCGGGAAGCUUACCGGGGGAGACAGCGGGAUGAAGGUCGGGCUGAAGACCCUACCAGACUAGCUGAGAGGUGGUGCAUGGCCGCCGUCAGUUCGUACUGUGAAGCAUCCUGUUAAGUCAGGCAACGAGCGAGACCCGCGCCCUCAGUUGCCAGCGGAUCGCUUUUGCGAUGCCGGGCACACUGGGGGGACUGCCGGCGCUAAGCCGGAGGAAGGUGCGGGCAACGGCAGGUCCGUAUGCCCCGAAUCCCCCGGGCUACACGCGGGCUACAAUGGCCGGGACAAUGGGUACCGACCCCGAAAGGGGUAGGUAAUCUCCUAAACCCGGUCUAACCUGGGAUCGAGGGCUGCAACUCGCCCUCGUGAACCUGGAAUCCGUUGUNNNNCGCGCCU
rnacentral:rRNA from 1 species